rnacentral:ribozyme from 14 species
AAGAACAAAAAAAAUAAAUAGAUCGGACGCAAUCUAUUCCCUCUCCUUUUGCUGUUGCUGCUUCUUCAUCAUCUUUUUUUUAUCUUCUUCUUGCCAGUCUUUU